CUGCGCGUAGGCGGGGAGUUAGCGGCACCCUGUACCCGAAAUCCGCUAUAUCGGGGCUGAACGCCUUUCUCGGCAUCGGCUAUGGAAGGUUGCGCGUCGUAAGGAACGUUGAUAACAAGGUCUUAUGCAACGUGAUACCGUGAACCGUGUCAGGACAGGAAUGUAGCAGCACUAAGCGGACCAUCGCGUGUGCCAUAAGGUAGCUUUGAGGGAGUCACCUGCGGCGUUUCCACUUCGGUGGUCUAUGACAACAAAGGCUCGCGCAG
rnacentral:SRP_RNA from 1 species